UCGCAGCUGCGAGCGGCAUGCUUCUGCCUACCAGUUCCUGUCUGCCACAUGUUCGGCCAAAUGGUUCAGUGCCCGUUUCCCACUUUCCCCUCUUUCAUAACUUGCAGAAAAUCAUGGUCCUGCGCUACUAGCCCCAUCUGGAAAUUCGACUGGUUUUGAUCAUUUUGUACUAAGGCUGUACACAUUUUGUACUAAUGCCCGUUUCCAAGUGAGAAUGAGAAUGCUACAGACUGCAGGAGGCAUUGAACGGGUCAUGUCCAUGUUUACUUCGAGAUUAAUCUUAGAGAGCAUUGAACCCUGCAAAUAUGACCAGCUUCGAACUGCUGUGAACUUGUGGGUAAUGGUUCCCGUUUAUUUCGAGAUCCAAUCCUCGAUAAGCAUUGACCUCUGCAAAUAUGACCAUCCUGGAACUGCUGCAAACUUGUGGUACUUAACUAUCAUUCUGAGAUAGCUAUAUAUCUGAUUCUGCUGACCUGGUUUUCAUGAGCAUUCCUUUCUGUUCCUCCAAGCAUUUUCAGUCUUACAUGGAAUCCUGUUCGCAUGCCUAAGAAUCAGGUCAGCUUAUUUUACAUGUUGUAUUCAUCAGACCGUGUUCACACGCCUAAGAAUUGAGUAGCUUGAGUUUCUCAUAGAACAUUAAUUGCCGCUAUGGAAUUUCUUAAGAAGUUGUAGCCUGUAGGUAAUGUGUUGCCUGGCUAAUAAAUAGUUUGUUCUUCAUAGACACUUUUGCUACUACUACCAUUUCAAUUCAUGCUGAACCAUUGCCUGGGAAAUAAAAUGUCGACAACCUUGUCAGAUGCAAUCUGUCAGCCGUGUCAAGUUAUUCUGUUUCUUUUAUCCUAGAAUUUCCUGCCUUCUGCAACCAAGGAGUCAGGACCAUGCUGCAUUGUCGUGUGCUUAUCUGGUCCUAUACAUCCAACUAUAGUGCCAAUUAGUUGGGUUCUUAUAUUACUCAAAAAGAAGGUAUAUUUAACAGAGAAAUA